GGAUCAGUGGCGAACGGGUGAGUAACACGUGAGCAACCUGCCCCUGACUCUGGGAUAAGCGCUGGAAACGGCGUCUAAUACUGGAUAUGUGACGUGACCGCAUGGUCUGCGUCUGGAAAGAAUUUCGGUUGGGGAUGGGCUCGCGGCCUAUCAGCUUGUUGGUGAGGUAAUGGCUCACCAAGGCGUCGACGGGUAGCCGGCCUGAGAGGGUGACCGGCCACACUGGGACUGAGACACGGCCCAGACUCCUACGGGAGGCAGCAGUGGGGAAUAUUGCACAAUGGGCGCAAGCCUGAUGCAGCAACGCCGCGUGAGGGAUGACGGCCUUCGGGUUGUAAACCUCUUUUAGCAGGGAAGAAGCGAAAGUGACGGUACCUGCAGAAAAAGCGCCGGCUAACUACGUGCCAGCAGCCGCGGUAAUACNUAGGGCGCAAGCGUUAUCCGGAAUUAUUGGGCGUAAAGAGCUCGUAAGCGGUUUGUCGCGUCUGCUGUGAAAUCCGGAGGCUCAACCUCCGGCCUGCA
rnacentral:rRNA from 1 species